rnacentral:misc_RNA from 1 species
GCUCCGUUCUUACAAGAAGAGAAUCCAGGAUGCUUUUACUUCCAAAAAGAGGUUGGCAAAGGAGUAUGAACAACUAGCAAUCUGGUAUGGAGAUACUGAUCUGGAACUCAGUACAAACAGUAAACAGAAGUUGGACAAGGAGAAUGCAUCAACUAGUUAUGUAUCUGACUCUGAGUGGGAACUCCUGUAAAUAGGACAGCUAAUUCAG